GUGCUUGAUUCUGAAGUAUAUGUACUAUCAUUGGAAAGAUACAGAGAAUAUUAGUAUGGCUUCUGCACAAGAAUGAUACACAAAUUCAUAAAGCAUUCCAUGAUUUA